UACGAAGGGGACUAGCGUUGUUCGGAUUCAUUGGGCGUAAAGGGUGCGUAGGUGGCGGGGUUAGUCAGGUGUGAAAUCUCGGAGCUCAACUCCGAAACUGCACUUGAUACUGCCUUGCUUGAGUACUGGAGAGGAGAUUGGAAUUUACGGUGUAGCAGUGAAAUGCGUAGAUAUCGUAAGGAAGACCAGUGGCGAAGGCGAAUCUCUGGACAGUUACUGACACUGAGGCACGAAGGCCAGGGGAGCAAACGGG
rnacentral:rRNA from 1 species